rnacentral:rRNA from 1 species
CGCUGGCGGCAGCCUAACACAUGCAGUCGAACGGCAGCACAGUAGAGCUUGCUCUAUGGGUGUGGCGGACGGGUGAGUAAUGCAUCGGGAUCUACCCAAAAUAACGUAGGGAAACUUACGCUAAUACCGCAUACGUCUUACGAGAGAAAGCUGGGGACUUCGGGCCUUGCGCGGUUGGACGAACCGAUGUGCGAUCUAGUUGGUAGGGUAAUGGCCUACCAAGGCGACGAUCGUAGCUGGUCUGAGAGGAUGAUCAGCCACACUGGAACUGACACACGGUCCAGACUCCUACGGGAGGCAGCAGUGGGGAAUAUUGGACAAUGGGCGCAAGCCUGAUCCAGCAAUGCCGCGUGAGUGAAGAAGGCCUUCGGGUUGUAAAGCACUUUUAUCAGGUGCGAAAUACUACCGGCUAAUAUCCGGUGGGGCUGCGGAACCUGAGGAAAGCACCGGCUAACUUCGUGCCAGCAGCCGCGGUAAUACGAAGCAAGGUUAAUCGGAAUUACUGGGCGUAAAGCGUGCGUAGGCGGUUAUUUAAGUCUUUGUGAAUUCCUUUGGCUCAACCUGGGAAUGGCAAUGGAUACUGGAUAGCUAGAGUGUGAUAGAGGAUGGUGGAAUUCCCGGUGUAGCGGUGAAAUGCGUAGAGAUCGGGAGGAACAUCAGUGGCGAAGGCGGCCAUCUGGAUCAACACUGACGCUGAGGCACGAAAGCGUGGGCAGCAAACAGGAUAGAUACCCUGGUAGUCCACGCCCUAAACGAUGCGAACGGAUGUUGGUCUCAACUCGGAGAUCAGUGUCGAAGCUAACGCGUUAAGUUCGCCGCCUGGGGACUACGGUCGCAAGACUGAAUCAAAGGAAUUGACGGGGGCCCGCACAAGCGGUGGAUAUGUUUUAAUUCGAUGCAACGCGAAGAACCUUACCUGGCCUUGACAUGUCUGGAAUCCUGCAGAGAUGCGGGUGUGCCUUCGGGAAUCAGAACACAGUUGCUGCAUGGGUCGUCAGCUCGUGUCGUGAGAUGUUGGGUUAAGUCCCGCAACGAGCGCAACCCUUGUCGUUAGUUGCAGCACUAAUGGUGGGAACUUAAGGAGACUGCCGGUGACAAACCGGAGGAGUGGGGAUGACGUCAAGAUCAUGCCUUACGGCCAGGGCUACACACGUACUACAAUGGUCGGCAGAGGGUUGCAAUACCGCGAGGUGGAGCCAAUCCCAGAAAGCCGAUCCCAGUCCGGAUUGGUCUGCAACUCGACUCCAUGAAGUCGGUCGCUAGUAAUCGCAGAUCAGCUAUGCUGCGGGAAUACGUUCCCGGGCCUUGUACACACCGCCCGUCACACCAUGGUGAGUUGCUCCAGAAGCCGUUAGUCUAACCGCAAGGGGGACGACGACCACGGAGUGGUUCAUGACUGGGGGAAGUCGUAACAAGGAGCCGUA